rnacentral:rRNA from 1 species
UAGGGAAUCUUCGGCAAUGGGGGGAACCCUGACCGAGCAACGCCGCGUGAGUGAAGAAGGUUUUCGGAUCGCAAAGCUCUGUUGUUAAGGAAGAACGAGUGUGAGAAUGGAAAGUUCAUACUGUGACGGUACUUAACCAGAAAGGGACGGCUAACUACGUGCCAGCAGCCGCGGUAAUACGUAGGUCCCGAGCGUUGUCCGGAUUUAUUGGGCGUAAAGCGAGCGCAGGCGGUUAGAUAAGUCUGAAGUUAAAGGCAGUGGCUCAACCAUUGUAGGCUUUGGAAACUGUUUAACUUGAGUGCAGAAGGGGAGAGUGGAAUUCCAUGUGUAGCGGUGAAAUGCGUAGAUAUAUGGAGGAACACCGGUGGCGAAAGCGGCUCUCUGGUCUGUAACUGACGCUGAGGCUCGAAAGCGUGGGGAGCGAACAGG